rnacentral:tRNA from 1 species
CAGAAUAUAGUUUAUAUAAAACAUGAAACUUGGAUUUUCAAAAAUCAAUUCUGA